rnacentral:rRNA from 1 species
GACGAACGCUGGCGGCGUGCCUAAUACAUGCAAGUUGAGCGAUGAAGCUUGGUGCUUGCUCCAAUUUGAAGAGCAGCGAACGGGUGAGUAACGCGUGGGGAAUCUGCCUUUGAGCGGGGGACAACAUUUGGAAACGAAUGCUAAUACCGCAUAAUAACUUUAAACAUAAGUUUUAAGUUUGAAAGAUGCAAUUGCAUCACUCAAAGAUGAUCCCGCGUUGUAUUAGCUAGUUGGUGAGGUAAAGGCUCACCAAGGCGAUGAUACAUAGCCGACCUGAGAGGGUGAUCGGCCACAUUGGGACUGAGACACGGCCCAAACUCCUACGGGAGGCAGCAGUAGGGAAUCUUCGGCAAUGGACGAAAGUCUGACCGAGCAACGCCGCGUGAGUGAAGAAGGGUUUCGGAUCGUAAAACUCUGUUGGUAGAGAAGAACGUUGGUGAGAGUGGAAAGCUCAUCAAGUGACGGUAACUACCCAGAAAGGGACGGCUAACUACGUG